CGUAGCCAUGGUAAAAUAAAUUAAACUUCAGAAAUUUCUUUCAAAAAAUUUUCAUUCAUUUCUAAAUUUUCAGCCCUUUUAGCUGUAUCUAAAUUUCAAGUGAACUUAUUUUCUUUAAAAAGUUAAAAAAAAUUUAAAAAACACGUCUCAAAAUGUGCGACCCUUGCUGCUCUCCCUGCGGACCGUGUCCAUCGCCUUGCGGCCCAUGUGGGCCGUGCGGGCCCUGUAGCCCCUGCGAUCCAUGCUGUGCACCGUUUGAGCCUAGAGCGUGUCGUAGUCGCGAAUUGCGUUGUGGAAUUAUGUACACUACCUGCGACUGUAUCAAAAGAAAUGGCUUGCAAGACCGAUGUCCGCGAUCGCUUUGCCAGGGGCGUGCUGCAUGUAUGUGCUUCCCCGUUCCGAAUUGCUGUCCAGCCUCGUUUCCACUGCGCUAUGCCAAUAUGACAAUGGGUGUGAAUAAUAGACGAAUGCGUUGCAAGGAAACCGCCGCAUUAUGUGCGCGAGCCUGUGGUGGUUGUGCACCGUGUGGCCCAUCAUGUGGACCUUGUGGUCCUUGUGGUCCCUGUGGGCCGUCAUGUUCUCCGUGUUGUGAUACUGCUUGUUGUGGUGCAUCGAAUCCACCAUGUGGUGCACCAGCUCCGAUACCAUGUCCACCGGCACCAGGCUGUUGUCCACCAAUUGUGGAAGCUGGUGUCCCAAAUCCGUGUGUGUGGAAUUGUAAUAAUACGCCUCCAACAUAUCCAUGGAAUUUACCUUCAGGUUUACGCAUAAUUGGAUUUAGUUAUGGCUCUAUGCCAGAAAAUCAGUAUACAAUGGGACAACACGCCGAUAUAUCUGAUCCCAAACUUGGCAGGCGCAAUAAGGUCACUUUUCAAAGCAAAAAAUCUUCAAAAUCUUCGCGUAGUCGCUAAAGUGUGAAAGCUCGAAUAAACGUACACGUUGUGAGAAGAUCUUGUUCGCUACAGCGAUUCUUUGUGUGAAAGUCUCUUGAUGAAGCUACGUGUACCCGACACUUGUGUGCUGUUCGUUUUAAAUUUGAUUUAACUUUUUAAUGAAAAUCGCAAAGUUCCACAUUCAGCAGAGUUGUGUCAUACCACUACCUAUUGUUGCUCUUCUCUCUCGUUUUUACUGUCGCUCUCUCUCUGAGUUUCUUAGCGUUUUGUGGUUUUUAAAUAUUAUUCUAAGGAAGGAAGCUAAGGCAGAUUACUUUUACGACUGAUAAAGGAUACUGACAACAAUACAUUAUUGUUGUUGUGUAAUGAAUCCAUAACUCGCGCGAAGGCAUCGAAAUGGAAACGUUUUGGACGCUGCAGUCCCAUUAUAAAUGCAUAUACAUAUCCGAAAAAUUCCACAAAUACGAGAGAUUCCAACGAGAACACGUUAACAUAAAAUGCGUACGCAAAGAGAAAAGUACGAUGUCAAACGAAGAAAAGACCGAAAGAGAGCAAGAAAAAGAGGAAGUGAGGAGUUUCAUUAAAUUCAGUGCGAGACAUCCUUUUCACGUUUAAGUACUUUGACAAACUUUCGAAAAUUUUUGUUUUUCUUUUUUAAUAAAAGCUUGGUAGUGGCUAUUUUUAUUAAAACUCUAAUACAAUGUAA